rnacentral:rRNA from 1 species
AUGUCGGUCGAAUGGUGGUCGCUGGUGUGUCAGCCGAAUGGCAUUCGACGCAAAGCAAUGGAGUCCCUCCUGAUGCUUGUCGUUUGGGAAAUCUGGAAUAAGUGCAUCACCCACGGUUUUUUUAAUACUCCAUCCAUGCAUGCUUCUGUAUUUGCCAAGAUCAAGCGUGAAGCCUCCAAUUGGGGCUUACCCGGCGCAAAAUACUUGAGGUCCUUGAUGCGCGAACGAGACCUUAUGAGCGUUUGUGUGUACUUAUUACUUAUCUUGUUUUAG